CACCUCUCAACCACGCACGUUUUGGCGCGCGCUGGCUUGGACCGUGGCCGCAAGGCUGACGACGCACGUUGGCCCGGCCGAAAUGCAUGCGGAGCGCAUACACGCUCAAGACGUCGCCCAGCGUUGUAGACCCCUCGCUGGACCGUCAUGAGAGCGUGGCUCCCCAGUCUAUCA
rnacentral:misc_RNA from 1 species